AUUGAACGCUGGCGGCAGGCCUAACACAUGCCAGUCGAGCGGAUGAAGGGAGCUUUCUCCUGGAUUCAGCGGCGGACGGGUGAGUAAUGCCUAGGAAUCUGCCUGGUAGUGGGGGAUAACGUCCGGAAACGGGCGCUAAUACCGCAUACGUCCUGAGGUAGAAAGUGGGGGAUCUUCGGACCUCACGCGAUCAGAUGAGCCUAGGUCGGAUUAGCUAGUUGGUGGGGUAAAGGCCUACCAAGGCGACGAUCCGUAACUGGUCUGAGAGGAUGAUCAGUCACACUGGAACUGAGACACGGUCCAGACUCCUACGGGAGGCAGCAGUGGGGAAUAUUGGACAAUGGGCGAAAGCCUGAUCCAGCCAUGCCGCGUGUGUGAAGAAGGUCUUCGGAUUGUAAAGCACUUUAAGUUGGGAGGAAGGGCAGUAAGUUAAUACCUUGCUGUUUUGACGGUACCAACAGAAUAAGCACCGGCUAACUUCGUG
rnacentral:rRNA from 1 species